rfam:Camelus ferus unplaced genomic scaffold scaffold2286, whole genome shotgun sequence.
GGGGGUAUAGCUCAAGUGGUAGAGCGUAUGUUUAGCAUGCACAACAAGGUCCUGGGUUCAAUCCCCAGUACCUCCU